GACGAACGCUGGCGGCGUGCCUAAUACAUGCAAGUCGAACGCAAUGGGGACGGGUGAGUAACACGUGGGUAACCUCCCAUCAGAGGGGAUAACACUUGGCAACAGGUGCUAAACCGAUACUGAUGGAUGGACCUGUGGUGCAUUAGCUAGUUGGUGAGGGAAAGGCUCACCAAGGCCACGAUGCGUAGCCGGUCUGAGAGGUGGAUCGGCCACACUGGGACGGAGACACGGCCCAGACUCCUACGGGAGGCAGCAGUAGGGAAUCUUCGGCAAUGGGCGAAAGCCUGACCCAGCCACGCCGCGUGAGUGAAGAAGGUUUUCGGAUUGUAAAGCUCUGUUGUUAGAGAAGCGGUAUCUAAAGAAAAAGCAACGGCUAACUACGUGCCAGCAGCCGCGGUAAUAC
rnacentral:rRNA from 1 species